ensembl:lncRNA
UGAGUAUUUGGCCUGUAGAAAUUUCCCAGUAUCUUCGUCUGUUGACACAAAGCCCCUGUUUUACAUUCCCACUCUACCCCAUGUGUUUCCUCUCUCAAAAGCAGAGAAAACUGAACUAAAAGUUUGGAAAUCGUGUGCUCUGGAAGUGGAAUAAGUGGCGUCAAAGGAGUGAAGCUAUUUCCCAAAAUGUAGUUGUGUUUCUGCAUCGCAGCUGGAACUCGUGUCAUGGAAAGCUGGGCAGAUACUGAACACAAAAAGUUCUUCAGCCCGUGAUGCCCUCAGCAAUGUGAUGGAAUGGAUUUUUCUGUCAGACAUUCAGACCAAGGAUGGAAGUUUUUCACACAGAGGGUGGUGAUGCACUGGAAGAGGCUGCCCAAGGAGGUUGUGGAUGCCCCAUCCCUGGAGGCAUUCGAGGCCAGGCUGGAUGUGGCUCUGGGCAGCCUGGUCUGGUGGUUGGCGACCCUGCACAUAGCAGGGGGUUGGAACUCGAUGAUCAUUGUGGUCCUUUUCAACCCAGGGCAUUCUAUGACUCUAUGAAACCUACCGUAUAGUAUUUGUAUCCAUUUCAAAGAAUUCUUCCACAGAGGAGAUGUGAACUCGUCGGUGCCACAUUUGGUGCUGAUGUGGAGUCUUAUGGGAUGCUGCUCUUAGAAGAAAGGGAACGAGAGUUUCUAUUCUGCUAUGGUUUUGGAAUCUGGGAGCUGAUGUGGGCCACCCUGUAACUUAAGGAACUGGAAAUCUAAACAAGAGUGGAAAUGCAAGCCAAGAUAUUUAGGUUUUUAAACAAGUGCUACUACUAUCUGCUACAAAUCUUUUAACACUGUCUUCAAAUUACUGCUUUAAAAAUAAUCCAGUCAAGAGACAGUGCCUGUUGUGUUACAGAAAUGGAGCUGGAAUAAACUGUCCUUAAGACUAAACAUCUAUCCAGCUCACAUUGCUCUUCUUUUUACCUAGUACUGCUCAUAUGUUAAAUAAUACUUCUCAUAAGAUCAGACUAUGCUUGGCUUUUCAGCACAGUUAGUUGGGUUUGUUUGUUUUCACAGGCAGCGGCGUGAAUCCUCAAUUACAUCAUUUUCAAUUAUGUGAGUGUCAACGAGAACAGAAUCCCUUUGAUUUUGUUUUGUUGUAUUGUAUUGACUCACUGCUCCGAUCAGUCGGUAAUGCGUGUGAACACACCUAUACGUUGCUCAAUGCCUAUUACAUCAUGCACAUGAAGAGCCCCUUGGCUAUGCCAAACACAGAAAGAAAGCUGAGUGAUGCCCUAUCAGCACAUAGCAGCCCUACCAGCAUAAUUAAAGCCGUUUUAAACCUUUUUAUUUAGGUCUGUGAAAACCACUAUGGG